rnacentral:tRNA from 1 species
GCGUCUGAGGUGUAAUGGUUAGCAUGGUUGCCUUCCAAGCAAUGAACAGGAGUUCGAUUCCCCUCAGACGCA